CCUACGGGAGACAGCAGUGAGGAAUAUUGGUCACUGGACGAGAGUCUGAACCAGCCAAGUAGCGUGAAGGAUGACUGCCCUAUGGGUUGUAAACUUCUUUUAUAUGGGAAUAAAACGUUCCACGUGUGGGAUUUUGUAUGUACCAUAUGAAUAAGGAUCGGCUAACUCCGUGCCAGCAGCCGCGUUAAUACGGAGGAUCCGAGCGUUAUCCGGAUUUAUUGGGUUUAAAGGGAGCGUAGGUGGAUUGUUAAGUCAGUUGUGAAAGUUUGCGGCUCAACCGUAAAAUUGCAGUUGAAACUGGCAGUCUUGAGUACAGUAGAGGUGGGCGGAAUUCGUGGUGUAGCGGUGAAAUGCUUAGAUAUCACGAAGAACUCCGAUUGCGAAGGCAGUUCACUGGACUGCAACUGACACUGAGGCUCGAAAGUGUGGGUAUCAAACAGGAUUAGAUACCCGGGUAGUC
rnacentral:rRNA from 1 species